rnacentral:rRNA from 1 species
GAUGAACGCUAGCGGCAGGCCUAACACAUGCAAGUCGAGCGCCCCGCAAGGGGAGCGGCGGACGGGUGAGUAACGCGUGGGAACGUACCCUUUGCUACGGAAUAGCCUCGGGAAACUGGGAGUAAUACCGUAUGUGCCCUUCGGGGGAAAGAUUUAUCGGCAAAGGAUCGGCCCGCGUUGGAUUAGGUAGUUGGUGGGGUAAUGGCCUACCAAGCCGACGAUCCAUAGCUGGUUUGAGAGGAUGAUCAGCCACACUGGGACUGAGACACGGCCCAGACUCCUACGGGAGGCAGCAGUGGGGAAUCUUAGACAAUGGGCGCAAGCCUGAUCUAGCCAUGCCGCGUGAGCGAUGAAGGCCUUAGGGUUGUAAAGCUCUUUCAGUGGGGAAGAUAAUGACUGUACCCACAGAAGAAGCCCCGGCUAACUCCGUG